rnacentral:rRNA from 1 species
ACUUAGGAAAGAUUCUUCGGAUGAUUUUCUAUUUGACUGAGCGGCGGACGGGUGAGUAACGCGUGGGUAACCUGCCUCAUACAGGGGGAUAACAGUUAGAAAUGACUGCUAAUACCGCAUAAGACCACAGCACCGCAUGGUCCGGUGUGAAAAACUCCGGUGGUGUGAGAUGGACCCGCGUUUGAUUAGCUAGUUGGUGGGGUAACGGCCUACCAAGGCGACGAUCAAUAGCCGACCUGAGAGGGUGACCGGCCACAUUGGAACUGAGACACGGUCCAAACUCC